ACUCAAAUGAAUUGACGGGGACCCACACAAGCAGUGGAUCAUGCGGUUUAAUUCGAUAAUAAACGGGGAAUCUUACCCAGGCUUGACAUCUAGAGAAUCUUGCAGAAAUGUAGGAGUGCCCUCACGGGAACUCUAAGACAGGCGCUGCAUGGUUGUCGUCAGCUCGUGCCUUGAGGUGUUCGGUUAAGUCCGUUAACGAGCGCAACCCAUGUCAUUAGUUACUAUGUCUAAUGAGACUGCCCGAGUUAAUCGGGAGGAAGGUGUGGAUGACGUCAAAUCAGCAUGGCCCUUAUGCCUGGGGCCACACGCAUGAUACAAUGGUCGGUACAAAGAGUAGCAAUGUGGUAACACGGAGCCAAUCUCAAAAAGCCGAUCUCAGUCCGGAUUGAGGUCUGAAACUCGACCUCAUGAAGUUGGAAUUGCUAGUAAUCGUGAAUCAGAUAUGUCACGGUGAAUAUGUUCCUGGGUCUUGUACACACCGCCCGU
rnacentral:rRNA from 1 species